rnacentral:lncRNA from 10 species
GUGCUCGAGCGUGCGCUGGCGGCGGCCCGGGCUCCCGGGCGUCUCUCACGCUGUGUUUUGGCGGCGCCUGGGGUCUUCGUUUGCAUAUGAGAAGAGCCGAAAGCACAGAGCUACAGGCGAAUACAAGUGGAUUUUUUUUCUUUUUCUGUUUUUUUAUUAGAAGUAAUAGUUGCUGCAUUUUGAAAAAUCAAGAGGAAAAGAGUUAACAGGAAGAAAAGUUCGAGAGCUGCCGGCUUCCCCUUGAAGGAAUAGGAGUAGACCUGCUGAACUAUCACAUGAGAGAAGAGGCCCAAAAGCUUGCACACUACAGUCAAGCUGGCCCUUAAAGAGAUGGACCUAGAAGAUGCUGAGCCAGAUGUACUCAAUUACUUCUCCAAAAUUCAUCAAUUAGGUAAGACACUCUUCCCAUGAAAGGAGGUAGCUGG